ensembl:lncRNA
CAGAACUAUACUUUCCUCUUGUUCUGUUUGCCAUCACCACCAUUGUGAUUCCAGGCUCGAACUCAUGGUAUGGACUGGUCUACAUACUGCUCUGCCAUGACAGGGCUUCCAGAGCACCCAGCCAGCACUCAGAACCUGGGUUGCUUGAGAGACUGCAGGACCUCCAUCCUGGAAUGGUGCAGGAGCUAACACUGGUGGUCUCGGCCCCGACUUUGCCCCACCAUCUUAAAACUGAAGAAUCCAGUCUCCCCCUAAACCCACUGAGUUAUUAUCCUUGGGGUUGGGGACCAGGCAACAGAAUGAACAUCAGUCAGACUGUAGGAGAUAGGUUUUUGAGUUUUUCCAAACAAACAUUUUAUAUUGUUUCAGUACUACCCUUGGACUCCAGACACAGAUUUCAUGUUGUCUCAUUCACCUUUGCUGCAUUUAUAAGAAGGUUGGAUGGUGGAAGUGGCAUUGAAAUUAAUAUACUAAAUGAAAAUCCCGUGCACCUUCUCAGAUUCCCUUGACUAUUUCUUUCUUCUCUUGUUUGUCACCUCACCCAUCCCGAGUUGCCCUUGUACAUCUAGGUUGAGAGGAAAUGAACCCAUUCGGAGCAUGGACCAUGGUUUUCUGAGAGACCAAGACACUGGAAGAGACAACCAUUGAUCAGCUGGAAAUAGGAGAUAAAGAGAGCACCUCUAUUUUCCCCUCCAAGGAUUGCUCUGAGUUGCAGUUUCUCCUUGCAAGACUUCCAGAAAAAUCCCAACAUGCCCAGUGAACAUGCUUGCUUAAUAAGUUGCUGUAAUCAAGUUGGUGGACUCACAACUACCAUGAACUUAGAAUCAACCAGUUCUCCAAGGAGCCUUGGUUCCUUUGACUAGAAAAUGGUAGAAGAAUCCAAGCCAUGGGCAGUAAGUGUACUCAUUUGCUCCUGGGUGGGUGGUGUUUCUAGCCUGUCUCAGUAGAUAGAAUUAGCUAAGACAUGUAUGUAUACUAACUCAGCAUAUACUGUACACCUCUAUUUUUAUUUCUGUGUCUAUUUAUCUGUAUGUUUGUAUCUUUUAAGACACGAGUCAAUAUUGAUACUUCUGAGUCCAAUCCAGCACCUGAGGGUUUAUUCUAGCCUUCUUACUUUCCUUAGUUGUAACUUCUUUUUCCAUUAAUGAGAAAUUGGGAGUAAUUAUUUGCAAUAUAUGUAUUUUUUCCUCUCGAGCAUACAAACAGUAUGAGAAACAGAUUUACCCAC